rnacentral:ncRNA from 2 species
UCAAUUUGUUAGGGGUGGCUUAUUCAGCCUGAGAACACACCCUCAGAACCUGACCUGGUUAAUGCCAGCGUAGGGAAACGCGCAUCGAUACUG